rnacentral:lncRNA from 1 species
AUCUGUGGUAAUUCUGGCAGAAUUUUUUUUUACUUCUUUGUGAACUUAUGUGAAAUGCUUACAAUUUAUAAAAUUACAUCUUAUUUAAUGAAGUAUUGGGGCCAGGAUCCUCUGGCUCAAUCCCCAUCUGAGAACCCAAGGGCAAAUGUACAUGUAUGGGUAAAAUGACCUGUGGGGUCAAGGGAGAAAAGAAUUUUCUAGGGCUUCUUGACAUGGGAUCCCAAUGCUCUAGGAUUCCAAAACCU